CCUACGGGAGGCAGCAGUGAGGAAUAUUGGGCAAUGGACGCAAGUCUGAACCAGCCAUGCCGCGUGCAGGAUGACGGCUCUAGGAGUGGUAAACUGCUUUUGUACGAGGGUAAACCCCGAGAUGUGGAUCGGUUUGAAAGUAUCGUACGAAUACGGAUCGGCUAACUCCGUGCCAGCAGCCGCGGUAAUACGGAGGAUCGGAGCGUUAGCCGGAUUUACUGGGGUUAAAGGGUGCGUAGGCGGUGUGGUAAGUUAGCGGUGAAAUGUCGGGGAUCAACCCCGGAACGGCCUCGAAUACUGUUAGGCUAGAGAAUAGUAGCGGUAGGCGGAAUUUAUGGUGUAGCGGUGAAAUGCUUAGAGAUCAUAAAGAACACCGAGUGCGAAGGCAGCUUACCAAACUAUAACUGACGUUGAGGCUCGAAAGCGUGGGGAGCAAACAGGAUUAGAUACCCCAGUAGUC
rnacentral:rRNA from 1 species